rnacentral:rRNA from 1 species
GAUGAACGCUGGCGGCGUGCCUAAUACAUGCAAGUAGAACGCUGAAGGAAGGAGCUUGCUCUUUCCGGAUGAGUUGCGAACGGGUGAGUAACGCGUAGGUAACCUGCCUGGUAGCGGGGGAUAACUAUUGGAAACGAUAGCUAAUACCGCAUAACAGUAGAUGUUGCAUGAUAUCUACUUAAAAGGUGCAAUUGCACCACUACCAGAUGGACCUGCGUUGUAUUAGCUAGUUGGUGAGGUAACGGCUCACCAAGGCGACGAUACAUAGCCGACCUGAGAGGGUGGUCGGCCACACUGGGACUGGGACACGGCCCAGACUCCUACGGGAGGCAGCAGUAGGGAAUCUUCGGCAAUGGACGGAAGUCUGACCGAGCAACGCCGCGUGAGUGAAGAAGGUUUUCGGAUCGGAAAGCUCUGUUGUAAGAGAAGAACGAGUGUGAGAGUGGAAAGUUCACACUGUGACGGUAUCUUACCAGAAAGGGACGGCUAACUACGUG